CCUACGGGGGGCAGCAGUGGGGAAUAUUGGACAAUGGGGGGAACCCUGAUCCAGCCAUGCCGCGUGUGUGAAGAAGGCCCUCGGGUUGUAAAGCACUUUCAGUGAGGAAGAACGCCUGGUGGUUAAUACCCAUCAGGAAAGACAUCACUCACAGAAGAAGCACCGGCUAACUCCGUGCCAGCAGCCGCGGUAAUACGGAGGGUGCGAGCGUUAAUCGGAAUUACUGGGCGUAAAGCGCGCGUAGGUGGCUUGAUAAGCCGGUUGUGAAAGCCCCGGGCUCAACCUGGGAACGGCAUCCGGAGCUGUCAAGCUAGAGUGCAGGAGAGGAAGGUAGACUUCCCGGUGUAGCGGUGAAAUGCGUAGAGAUCGGGAGGAAUACCAGUGGCGAAGGCGGCCUUCUGGACUGACACUGACACUGAGGUGCGAAAGCGUGGGUAGCAAACAGGAUUAGAUACCCUAGUAGUC
rnacentral:rRNA from 1 species